UCUUUUGGAGAGUUUGAUCCUGGCUCAGGACGAACGCUGGCGGCGUGCCUAAUACAUGCAAGUCGAGCGGACCGG
rnacentral:rRNA from 1 species